UACGUAGGGGGCUAGCGUUGUCCGGAAUCAUUGGGCGUAAAGCGCGUGUAGGCGGUCCGGUAAGUCCGCUGUGAAAGUCGGGGGCUCAACCCUCGAAUGCCGGUGGAUACUGUCGGGCUAGAGUGCGGAAGAGGCGAGUGGAAUUCCUGGUGUAGCGGUGAAAUGACGUAGAUAUCGGAAGGAACAUCAGUGGCGAAAGCGGCUUCCUGGACCAGCACCGACGUUCAGGCACGAAAGCGUGGGGAGCAAACAG
rnacentral:rRNA from 1 species